GUUGUCGUAUUCACUUUAAUCCAUGUGUGUUAGUGUGGAUUGGGGUAGAAUUUAGUUCAAGUUUCACUCUAAUCCACCUUAACACAUGUGGAUUGAUAUGAAUACGACU
rfam:Sorghum bicolor cultivar BTx623 chromosome 6, whole genome shotgun sequence.